AGGCUGGCCUACCGGGACCCGCGCUGAAUCCGGAGGGAACUCUCUCCCGGAUUGAAACGACGCAAUUUAGCUCGGCAAACGCCGGCAUUCAAUCAUUCAGAUAAGACCUGGAGCCCAUGAAUGUCAAAGCGAGAGCACAGCAGCACUAACAACACGCCGGGAUGGAAACAGGAAAUGACUGGUGUUUUCAAAUGGAUUCCUUGAUGUGUCCUCUACCCAGCAAGUUAGUGGGGCAAGAAAAUGUGAAUUAAAAAUACCUAAUUUCUUUCUUUCUCUCUCUUUCUCUCUCUCUCUCUUGGUCUGGCACAGUGACUGCAAAGUUUUGAAAAAGUAUCUGUUAAUUCCUCACUACUUGCUCUAUCACAACACUUUGAAAAGAACAAGGGGGUUGGGCGGGAGGAAUCCAUGGCUGACAACACGUUUCCCGUGUGACACUUAACCUGUGGAGCUUUCGGAUUCUCUCUGAUCAUUCAGUGUUUGGUACAUGUUAAUUAACCCUAGGGCAUAGUAGAGCUUUACAGCUUUGAAGAAGGAAAUAUCAGAGACAUCAAGAGGUAAGAUAAAAAAGGAAGAGACAAAAAAUAUCUUUCUCACUAGCAGUUGUUUUUCCAUGCAUACUCGGCUUACUGUAUUCUUGACUGGUUUGAUUCGGCUGAGGAACGUGCAGUUGUUACGUUUGAAAGCACAGUGUUCUUGAAGGUAUGUUGCAAGGAUAUAGAAGAGAAAGCUAUACGUCAAACUCUCCAUCAGAGCUUUGUAAGCGCCCUUA
ensembl:lncRNA